rnacentral:misc_RNA from 1 species
GUGAAAUUGGCUGAGUAUCGUGAGGCGUAAUGUGAUCAGAAACGGGUUUGGGUAAUGAUAUGUCACAAGACGUUCCUAACAUGGUAUGAUAAGGGAAAAUAUGCUCAUUAAAUAUAACAUCUCGGGAAAUGCAAAUGGACUUGGUGUCUAAGUUGUAUAGCUUGUAAGCUUUGUAACCCAAUGGGUAACCAAGAAAGACACAAUGAUAUGUUCUUUGGUCAAUUUGGUUUUGUGGGGAGAAAUAUUGGUUGCAUAACAAAGACAACCAAAUGUUCGCAUAGUAUUAUAGUCGGGUGGUUUGCCAUUUAGAAGCUCAUAAGGCGUUUUCCAAGCAAGAAUUUUGGAAGGGAUCCUAUUUAUGAUGUAAGUGGCUGUGAGUAAUGACUCUCCCCAAAACAUUUUUGGUAAUUUGGACCGAAAUAUGA